GGAAGGGUUCAUUGCGGAAUUAACCCAUUUGAUGCGCUAAGGCACGGGUCGGGUCUGGAAAUGGGCAGACGCGCGGAUCCUCUUGCCCUUAAACGCCACCGUUUCUUAAAUCAGCCUCUAUAAACCCUUUUUUUUUUUAUUAGCCCUUAACACACCUCCCCCCCCCCCCCCUUUUAUUUGAAAUGAGCCUGCAUGCUGCUAGGGCUUCAUUCAGCAGCCGCCAAACCCACCAUUUGAUUUGGUGGUCGACAGUGCGCAAGCGGAGGCCGGAUCCUGCUGAAGAAAAGCUCGCCCGCGGUGGUUCGGUGACUUUACUUCCCCUUUCCUUUUUCUUUUAACAAAAAAAAAAAAACUUAAGAUCCUACGCUAUUCUAUCAAACAAGCGAAAUACAACAACGAAAAAAACAAAGAAAAACAACCCUCGCCCGAAUCACCAUAUUUUCGAAACAGAUGGGCUUUCAUCGGUGUUUUUUCGAGUGUUCAUUUCGUUUGUGUUAAUAUCAUAAGGAAAAUGAGAAGAAAGAUGAAAAAGGGUACGGGUGCACGCUGGCGUGUGUACGGGAGCGUGUGCUGGCGUACGGGGUGUGGGCGUGGUGCCAGGAGGAGUGUACGGGGUUGCUGCGGCGCAGGCCAAGGCUGCUAGGGUUUCUUCCUUGGCUCUUGUUUUAGACAUUGGGCCUAUUGGGCCUGUAUUUGGGUCCUGGGUUUUAAAAAUAGGCCUAGGUUAUGUAAUUGGGUUUGGGCUAUGUAAUUGGACUUUAAACAUUUAAUGGACUGUUAUAAUUUUAUUUA